rnacentral:rRNA from 1 species
AGCAGCCGCGGUAAUUCCAGCUCCAAUAGCGUAUAUUAAAGUUGUUGCAGUUAAAAAGCUCGUAGUUGAACUUCGGGGUUUACCCAUUGGUCAGGCUUAAUUGUCUGCACUGGUGAGAUGAAUCUCUACCUUCUGAGGAACUUUCAUGCCAUUUAUUUGGUGUGAUGGGAAAUCAGGACUGUUACUUUGAAAAAAUUAGAGUGUUUAAAGCAGGCUAACGUCUGAAUACAUUAGCAUGGAAUAAUGAAAUAGGACGGACUGAUUCUAUUUCGUUGGUUUCUAGGAUCACCGUAAUGAUUAAUAGGGAUAGUUGGGGCAUUAGUAUUCAAUUGUCAGAGGUGAAAUUCUUGGAUUUAUUGAAGACUAACUACUGCGAAAGCAUUUGCCAAGGAUGUUUUCAUUAAUCAAGAACGAAAGUUAGGGGAUCGAAGACGAUCAGAUACCGUCGUAGUCUUAACCAUAGACUAUGCCGACUAGGGGUCGGACGAAGUUAAUUUUAUAAUGACGCGUUCGGCACCUUACG